GGAGUUUGGACCGUGUCUCAGUUCCAAUGUGGGGGACCUUCCUCUCAGAACCCCUACUGAUCGUCGGCUAGGUGGGCCGUUACCCCGCCUACUACCUAAUCAGACGCAUCCCCAUCCCUUAGCGGUGAACCUUUGCUUCAUUUCAGAUGUCCUCUACGAAGAACAUAGGGUAUUAAUCCGAUUUUCACCGGGCUAUGCCCUACUAAGGGGAAGGUUGGAUACGCGUUACUCACCCGUGCGCCGGUCGCCAGCAACAAUAGCAAGCUAUCGUCCUGCUGCCCCUCGACUUGCAUGUGUUAAGCCUGUAGCUAGCGUUCAUC
rnacentral:rRNA from 1 species